CAUGUCUAUCAUGCUCCCUUGUGGUUCCCACAAUUCCCAGCACAGCAUACCGCAUACUGUGAUGGGAAUUGUGGGAACUGCAAGGGAGCAUGGUAGAGAG
rnacentral:miRNA from 1 species